UACGGUGAAUACGUUCCCGGACCUUGUACACACCGCCCGUCAAGCCAUGGAAGCUGGGUGUACCUAAAGUCGGUAACCGCAAGGAGCCGCCCAGGGUAAAACUAGUAACUGGGGCU
rnacentral:rRNA from 1 species